rnacentral:pre_miRNA from 1 species
UUGUGCCUGGCUCCCUGUAUGCCACACGUAUAGCUCCAAUCCAUAGCUUUGAUUGGCUACUAUGGGUGGCGUGCGAGGAGCCAAGCAUAC